rnacentral:antisense_RNA from 1 species
CACAACCCUCAGCUGUCAGGUUUCCCUGGCACCCAGAGGGGACUGAGCCAGCAGCUGACCUGAAAACAGCGAGUCUGCUGACUGUCCAGCGAUCAUUUCCCUCUAUUGAGAAUUUUAACCAAGUGUCUGUUGUCUGUAGUCAUUUGAUAUUGGCUGUGGACCCACAAAGUCACACAAGGCUAAAGGAUGGACAGCACGGAAGAGGCAGUACAUCUUAACAAAAUCAGGGUUCUGGAUGAAGGGGGGGUGGUGAAUGGUUGCUGCAAUCAACAGUUCAUACUUCAAUGGAAAGAAGGUGGGAUUUGAUUCCUGGUUGCAAAUCUUCACUCUGUCACCUGCUAUCUGUGUGCCCUCAGUCUCCCAUCAAGGAGUGAUGUCUGUUUCUCCACUUCUUGAAUCUGGGCUGGCCUUGCCAAUAGAAUAUGGCAGAAGUGACAUCGUUCCAUUUCUGAGUCAAAGCCUGAGGAGGCCUUGCAUGCUUCUACUCUCUCCUGCAACCCUGCACUGCCACAUAUCAACAAGACUUAUCAACAAGCCUGGGAUAGCCUGCUAGAUGAUGAAAGAUAUAUGGCCCGCUUGCUCCCAUCACUCCAGCUGAUAGCCAGGCAACCCUAAGAAGCAAAGUCACCUAGCUGAUUAGUAGCUGACCACUGACACAAAAGUAAGAUCAUCUGAGACCAGAAGACAGCCCAUCUGAGCUCAGCCCAAAUUACUGACCCACAAAAUAAUAAUAAAUAAAUGGUUAUUAUUUUUAUGUCACUGAA